ensembl:lncRNA
AUGAAUCAUACCCAUCAACGUGGUAGUGCCAUUUCAUGGCCCUCGUCUUUGCAACCCUGGGAAACAUGGCAACAAAUUGAACAAACACGGGAACAGCUGCAGCAGGCAGAGCUCACCUUUAGAUACCAGUUCACGAGAAGAAUGCUCAGGACAACUAGGGCAGUCUGGAUCCUGGGGACUUCCUCCGUUAACUGGAUGAUUCUGCAUGCCCCACCCCCAUGGACUAUUAGGCACAUCCACCUCCUGAACCUUGGUGGCCCUGGGGCCACCCGGAACCCCUCCACCUGCAACACUUGGCUAUUUUGUAUGCAAGAGUCCUGGUCCUUUCCCAGGAUUGCCUUGCAGGCUGUGCCCCGUGGACCACCCUUCACCACCAGUCAUGGGCUAUAGGCCACAUCCCCCUCCUCCACCUACUCUAUUUGUUAAGAUGACCUGAACUGGCUGAGUGGCUGGUAAAGUAUAUUCAUCUUCUUCAUGAUUGACUUUGUGGCAAUGAUGUAGAGACGGUUGUGAGUCUUGGCAAUCCAACUACAAACUGCCUGAGGACACUGUAGCAUAUCUCAAGUUUCUCAGGACAUACAUACAAUGGGCAGUGGCAUGUCCCUAUAAUACAGUGAGCUAUACGUUUCUCUUGUCAAAUGAAAGAGGAGUUUUUACACAAAAGCAGACGUAUCAGCAGUACUGGUGCAUAUGUUGGAGACACAAUGUGUUGGGUUCUGUAAUGAAUGAGGUGCACCCCUAACUUUUAGAGCAUCAGGUGUCCUGUGUGACAGAGGGACAUUCAUUAAACGAUGCAGACCUGGUGAUCACCAACAUGGAAACACCAGUGAGGAUCCAGGGCAAAACCAGGGGAGCCUUGAAUCAUAUAGGAAUAGAAGGGAAGUUGAGCACAGUAAGCAGAGUUUGAGGAGGUGCAGAGGGGAGGGUGUUGGGGUCAGUGAGAUGCAGUUGGAGGUCAUUCCGGCCACAGCCUGAGCAGGGAGUGUGAGGUCCAUACGGAACUGCUAUGUGGGAUCGCUCUCAGUGCAAAGUGCACGCAGGUAAUCACCUAAAAAGAUUCUCGUCUCCCUGCAUUUUCCUGAAGGUUCUGGAUAUUUGUGGGGGGAAAAGAGCCCUGGAUAUAUGAGGUAUUUAACUUGGUCUUAUGAAAAUACUGUAUGCCCAAGUUCAUAUCCCUCAAGAGACUAAAAGUGGGGACAGGGUCUAGAUCAGCUGAGUCAUCCUACAAUUCAGGGCUGGCCAGAUGACACCACUGCUGGACCCCUGUCAUCACCCUGACUACAGCUUUGCAUCUCCUCAAACUUCUCUCACAAUAUUAUGACAGCUGUGUUAUCUGUGAAAACAGGGGUAAUAUUUCUUUCUAAGAACAAGAGAAAAAGAAGACAUUCAGUGCAUAAAGCGUCUGCAAAAUCUCUGGGAACGGUCCCCUCACGCUUCUCACAGUUUCAAUUAAGAUAUCGCCACACAAUGAUCCUCCAAAAAAGAUGGUCACGGGAGUUCAUUAAACUAAGACUGUUAACAACUCAGCCCAGGGAGUGGGAAUCACUGUUUUAAAAAAUAAGACAAUGUCCCUCGUUUUUCUAUUAGAAUUCGGGCCCUGUCACACAAUGAAAGAGAAGAUAAUUAUGAGAAUGUGUACAUUCAGAGACCUAGAUCUGAAGACAAUCAUUUUCUAUUACACAUAGUCUCACAGAUGCAGCCGCACACUAAAGUGCUCAUCUGAGGCCACAGAUAAACUACAGAAGACAGAAUGCAUGUAGGAAAACAUAAGAUCACAGGGGAAUAAACCAAAAUCUCUUUGCCUUAUAGGACA